rnacentral:rRNA from 1 species
CCAAUAGCGUAUAUUAAAGUUGCUGCAGUUAAAAAGCUCGUAGUUGAAUUUCGGGACCAUCAUGUCGGUCGUGCCUAGGUACGUACUGGCAUUGUUGGUUUCUCCCUUCUGACGAACCACGAUGUCAUUAAUUUGGUGUUAUGGGGAGUUAGGACUGUUACUUUGAAAAAAUUAGAGUGUUUAAAGCAGGCAUUAGCUUGAAUACAUUAGCAUGGAAUAAUGAAAUAGGACGUUCGAUCCUAUUUUGUUGGUUUCUAGGAUCAACGUAAUGAUUAAUAGGGAUAGUUGGGGGCAUUAGUAUUCAAUUGUCAGAGGUGAAAUUCUUGGAUUUAUUGAAGACUAACUACUGCGAAAGCAUUUGCCAAGGAUGUUUUCAUUAAUCAAGAACGAAAGUUAGGGGAUCGAAGACGAUCAGAUACCGUCGUAGUCUUAACCAUAAACUAUGCCGACUAGGGAUCGGAUGAUGUUAAUUUUUUAAUGACUCAUUCGGCGCCUUACG